AUCUCAGUUCAGAUUGCAGGCUGCAACUCGCCUGCAUGAAGUCGGAAUUGCUAGUAAUCGUAGGUCAGCAUACUACGGUGAAUACGUUCCCGGGCCUUGUACACACCGCCCGUCAAACCAUGAGAGUUGGCAACACCCGAAGUCGGUAGUCUAACCGCAAGGAGGACCGCCGCCGAAGGUGGGGUUGAUGAUUAGGGUUAAGUCGUAACAAGGUAAC
rnacentral:rRNA from 1 species